AGAUUGAACGCUAGCGGGAUGCUUUACACAUGCAAGUCGAACGGCAGCGCGGACUUCGGUCUGGCGGCGAGUGGCGAACGGGUGAGUAAUAUAUCGGAACGUGCCCAGUAGCGGGGGAUAACUACGCGAAAGCGUGGCUAAUACCGCAUACGCCCUACGGGGGAAAGGGGGGGAUUCUUCGAGACCUCUCACUAGUGGAGCGGCCGAUAUCAGUAUUAGCUUAGUUGGUAGGAAGGUAAA
rnacentral:rRNA from 1 species